GAUGAACGCUGGCGGCGUGCCUAAUACAUGCAAGUCGAGCGAACAGAUGAGGAGCUUGCUCCUCUGACGUUAGCGGCGGACGGGUGAGUAACACGUGGAUAACCUACCUAUAAGACUGGGAUAACUUCGGGAAACCGGAGCUAAUACCGGAUAAUAUAUUGAACCGCAUGGUUCAAUAGUGAGAGACGGUUUUGCUGUCACUUAUAGAUGGAUCCGCGCCGCAUUAGCUAGUUGGUAAGGUAACGGCUUACCAAGGCAACGAUGCGUAGCCGACCUGAGAGGGUGAUCGGCCACACUGGAACUGAGACACGGUCCAGACUCCUACGGGAGGCAGCAGUAGGGAAUCUUCCGCAAUGGGCGAAAGCCUGACAGAGCAACGCCGCGUGAGUGAUGAAGGUCUUCGGAUCGUAAAACUCUGUUAUUAGGGAAGAACAAAUGUGUAAGUAACUAUGCACGUCUUGACGGUACCUAAUCAGAAAGCCACGGCUAACUACGUG
rnacentral:rRNA from 1 species